rnacentral:rRNA from 1 species
AUUGAACGCUGGCGGCAGGCCUCACACAUGCAAGUCGAACGAGUGGCGGACGGGUGAGUAAUGUCUGGGAAACUGCCCGAUGGAGGGGGAUAACUACUGGAAACGGUAGCUAAUACCGCAUACCAUCGGAUGUGCCCAGAUGGGAUUAGAGAGUAGGGGGGGUAACGGCUCACCUAGGCGACGAUACCUAGCUGGUCUGCGAGGAUGACCAGUCACACUGGAACUGCUACACGGGCCCGCCUCCUACGUGAGGCAGCAUUGGUGAAUAUUGCACAAUGGGCGCAAGCCGGAUGCAGCCAUGCCGCGGGUAUGAAGAAGGCCUUCGGGUUGUAAAGUACUUUCAGCGAGGAGGCGUUACUCGCAGAAGAAGCACCGGCGAACUCCGUGCCAGCAGCCGCGGUAAUAC